AGUGACCAACCAUAUGCUUAAGGGAAGCCUGCAAGCAGGACCUGAGUUAAACAGAAGUCUCGCCCGACCUCCACACCUUCCAGCAACUGGUAUUUGAAGAUUUCGGCCUCUGAUGAUGGAGGCACAGCAAAGCCACCAGAGGUCAUAGCCAUGGAUAGCCUAAUCCUUCAUGAGUUUGUUGAAUCCUUCUUUAAAGCCUUCAAAAUUUGUGCCCAUCACUGCCUCUUGAGGUAACAAAUUCCAUAGCUUAAUCAUGGACUUUAUGAAGAAUUUAAUUUUCUUUUGCCUGUUCUGAAUCAUCGCACAUUCAAUUUCCUCAUAUGCUCCAAACUAUAAUGUUAUAUUUAUCCUAUUUUUAUCUUGUUGCUCCUUACUCCUUUUGCAGUAAAAGAACCCCCUCAAAUGCUACCGUCUAGCCUUGUCAUUGUCCUUGUAGGAUGAAAAAUAUGAGUGCUGCAUAACUUACCAUCCUGGUUUGAUAUUUCUCCUUCUGAACAUGGAGCACAGCCAUAGCAGCAAAACUUUUCCCCUUCUUUCUUUUUUUUCUGAUUCCCAGGGUGGCAGUGGUCAUUACACCGAGAAAGGGGAAUCACCUAUCCAUAGCAGAAAAGUCUUUUAGGAGAUCAGAAAAAGUGAUUGUUUAGUUGUCUUCUAUUAAUGUGGUUCACCACUCAGGGGAAAAAAGGUUCAAUAUAAAUAGCUGCCUUACACAGCUGCAUUGUCUAUGGAUCCCAUUAUUUGGAAUCCCAUUGAAACCUAUGGCAAACUUUGCAAUCAUUUUGCAGCACAAACUCCCCUUUUUGCGGUGUCUGACUUUCCCACCAUGGUGCUAUACUGCUCCCUUCAAAUCCAAUAUUGUUCAAUUCACUUCAAACCUGUGCCAAACUUCUGAAUUCAUGGAUUGGGGUGACUGGUAGGGCCCCAAGUUUGGCAGGUCAGCCACACAGGGCUCUCCAAAAAUGUUAAGUUUAUUCUGCAAAAUAAUUGAAAAACCUCUCAGCAGGAAUUCCUUUUAGCCCUGCCUAGAGAUGCAAGGUAUUGAACCUGAGACCUUUUGCAAACAGUAUGUGUUCUGUUACUGAGUUAUUGUCUCAAUGCAAGAGGAAAAGAAGUUACCGAAUGGGCUCCUGUGCAUUGAUUUCAUUUAUAUAUUCCAAAGCUUUGCUUUAUAUAUAUAUGGAAAAUAUAGCUAUACAAAAAUAUACUGGGUUUUUUCCUUGGCAUUUCUAGGUGAUGCCAAUUUUGAAUGUGCUAGGCAGCCACAUUUUUCCUUGGCCAUAACAGAUAGAAAAAAACAGAUUUAAACAAAAUGCAAUUUCUGACACGCAGAGAACACAUCAUAAGAACAGUGGGGACCAGAAGGAUUGCUAGAAUUCAGACCUGAUUAAAUCCUCUGUGCCAUACAAGCAUAUCUUCAUGAAUGAUGAAUGCUUCUCCUUCAAGAGCAUCAGGAUCAACUUGUCCAACUUUCAUUUGAAGGAAGGACUUGUUUGGGAAUGUGAUCAUGUUCGUGAUGUCAAAUCCACCUCUCAGUUCCCUUUUUUCAUUAAAGGACAUUGUUUCUCCUGCUGAGUUGUUAAAUAAAGUGCCUUGCAGAAAAUAGUGGAGCUGAUUCAAACAGAAACAGUAAAAAUAAGAAAAAAAUAUAUAUAAUGAAGACCAAGUGUCAAGAAUCAGAUACAGUGCUACUUUGGGUUACAGACACUUCAGGUUACAGACUCCGCUAACCCAGAAAUAGUACCUCAGAUUAAGAACUUUGCUUUAGGAUGAGAACAGAAAUCAUGUGGCAGCAGUGCAGCAGCAGCGGGAGGUCCCAUUAGCUAAAGUGGUACCUCAGGUUAAGAACAGUUUCAGGUUAAGAAUGGACCUCUGGAAUGAAUUAAGUUCUUAACCCGAGGUACCACUGUAUUUUCAUAUAGCAUAUGGAAAAGUUAUAACAAAGCAAUAGAUGGAUCUAUACUGUACAGGAAAGGGGGAACUAACAAAAUGUUAUCUCUUGACGUCUGGCCUUGGAGAAAUCGACUCACUGAAAUAAUAUAUUGUUUGCAACAGAUUACCUGCCAAGGCUGCAGAUCUCGAAGUUCAAACAUUUUUUCUCCCCCCAGUGCUCUGUGCUUUGAUCUGUAUGAAUAAAUAGCAUGCAACGAAUGAGCCACAACAAAGACAGCAUUGUAGAUAUUGUAGCUGUGGCUAGUCAUGUCCAUUUCAAACAGGUGCCCAGGAAGACACUCUAACUUCUCCUCCCCUGUACAGGUUUCAUUAACUUGCAUGAUCGGAUCUGGAAAUGUACAGUCAAAUGCUUGCUCCCAGAAGUCCUUGAGAAAACCAUCACCUGAAUUCCAGUAAGGUUUUAUGAUCUGAAGAAAUUCAUUGAACUCGAGAAGGUCUUUUGAGUGAAUGGUAAAGGAAAUGGCACCUUCAAAAGGCUCAAGAUCCAAAAACUUUUGAUAACUCAAUAGUAUAAAAUCAAUUUGUGUUGUCAUGAUCCACACCUUUCUAAAUGUUGAGCUUUCCUUAUUUUCAGGAUCUCGUAGAAAUAUAAGAAAUCUUAGCCAGCUCAGUGACAGAGAAUCUCCAUAGACGAUGAAUGCAUUGGUUUUAUCAUUUGUGAGACCCACAUAAUAACUUUUGAAUAUGUCAAAAACAUCAUGCAUCAUUUCGAAAUGAUAUGUUUUCUGCAUUCUUUUUGUGAAGGCUGAACAGAUCCCAUGCUGGUAAAGCAAAGGCUCCAGGGCCUGCAAGAAAUUUUCUCCUCCAUCAUCAUCCGUGACAAAGAGUCCAACCCAUGUCCAUCCAAAAUGCUGAAGCAAGUUGAUUAUCGCCAUAUACUGAUGGGCUUCAUUGGGCACCAUGCGGUAAAAGGAAAGGAAGUGAUCUAUAUCACUCUCCUUUUGUGGAAAUGAGCCAUAUGCAAGCUAAUGGGGGGGACGGG
rnacentral:lncRNA from 1 species